GUGUUUGCUUCGACAGCACAUAUACUAAAAACUGGAACGAUACGGAGAAGAUUAGCAUGGCCCCCACACAAGGAUGACACAUAAAUUCAUGAAGGAUUCCAUAUUUUU
ensembl:snRNA U6 U6 spliceosomal RNA